rnacentral:lncRNA from 1 species
GGCAGAGCCUCACGACCUCAUCACCUCCCCACCUUUCAAACCUGUUCACUGGGGAUUAAGGGAUUAAGUUUUUAACACAUAAACUGUGGGGAAAACAUUCAAACCAAAGCAGCGUGGAAAUGUCUCUUCCCACCUGAGGCAGACAAGGCUGCUGCUUAACUUGUGGAACUAACCAGUUAAUUGGCUAGUGAUCCAGUUCAGGGGUUGUGAAGCCAGUCGCCACCCAGCAGGUUCUGUGAACACACUCUUUUGGAGUCAAGCGUCACCUGUUGGUUACCUAGUGCCUGUAGGCAUUUCAUGAUAUAAGAGACCGCAUGACCAGGUAAGUCUAGAAUAUCUCAAAUCUGGCGCUUUACGGAAAAGGUCUGCCACUCCUGCCUGAAUUAACAGCUUCUCUUCCCCGACCUGCUCUCUCUUCCUCUGCCUUUGGCCCUUCCUUCCUCAAUUCCCAUCUAGAAUGAUGACACAGCUGUAAUCACAUCAGCUUAUGACUACUGAGCUCAGACCCCAGCCAGGCACUACCAUGGCUUAAUCCUCACCAUUGCCACUUUGUUGCUCAAAGUGGGGCCCCUGGACCAGCAGCAUUAGCAUCAGCUGGGAGCUCAUUAGAAAUGCAGAAUCUCAGCCCCGCCCAGACCUGCUGUCUGGGAUCUGCUUUUCAACCAGAUCUGCAGGUGGUCUGUGUGCACAUUAAAGUUUGAGAAGCACUGGUCUAGACGAUCUCCUAGCAACAUCUUGCUGAGGUGGGGAGAGAAUGUUUAAUGUUUAAUUAAUGUUUAAUUCCUUCUGGGAGCCCAGGAAGAAAGCCUUGGCUGGGUCUCUCCCUCUUUAAGUUCUGGCCUUCUUCCAAAGAACAAAUGCCGUCAUUAGCACCCCUUUUCACACACACACACACGCAGACUCUGCACUAGACACCGAUUCCCUUAAUCUUGUUAGAGUUCAUUCAUUUAUUCAACAAAGAGCUGUGGAGCUGCUACUAUGUGGCAAUCUUAUAGGCCCUAAGGACGGUGCCAGACAGAUAGGGUCCCUGCUCUAUUGGGCCUUUAUCUGUCCAGGGAGCCAGACAUGGAAGACAUCAUUAUAUACAAGUUUGGCCCCCUUUCCUAGCCGUCCUCCCCUAGACUCAGUCUCCUCUCUGAGCUGCUCGCCUCUUGGAAUGGCCUUCACCCUUGGUGGUGUGGCUUUGACUGUCUAUACUUGUCAUCACGGCUGCCUCCAGAGCACAGACAGUGCCCACUGCAGGAAGAAGGUGGCCGUCCUCCCUACUGGUCACCACCUUUAGGAGAAGCAGAGUCACUGCCUCGGCUGGCAGAUGGUCCAGCCUCCGGGACUUCCCAUUCUUCCACCCAGUUGGGCCCCCCUUGACUGUGACGGUGCAGGGCGUGAGCCACCA